GCUAUUUUAGUUUAUGUUAUAAAAUUUUUAAUUUGUAAUUAAAAGAAUUUAAGUAGCU
rnacentral:tRNA from 1 species